GACGAACGCUGGCGACGCGCUUAACACAUGCAAGUCGAACGGAAAGGCCUGCUUUCCCUUGUGGAUUGCGGGUACUCGAGUGGCGAACGGGUGAGUAACACGUGAGUGAUCUGCCCCCAACUUGGGUAUAAGCCUGGGAAACUGGGUCUAAUUCCCGAUAGGACUGCAGGGUGGUGCCUGUGGUGGAAAACGAUUUUCUAGUGGUUGGGGAUGAGCUCGCGGCCUAUCAGCUUGUUGGUGGGGUAAUGGCCUACCAAGGCGGCGACGGGUAGCCGGCCUGAGAGGGGGGACGGCCGCAUUGAGACAGGGAUACGGCCCAGACGCCUGCGAGAGGCAGCAGUGGGGAAGAUAGGACAAUGGGCGGAAGCCUGAAGCAGCGACGCAGCGUGGGGGAUGACGGCCUUCGGGUUGUAAGCUCCUUGCGACCGCGAGGAAGCCACCUGGUUGGAAGGGUGGUGACGGUAGUGGUAGAAGAAGCACCGGCUAACUACGUG
rnacentral:rRNA from 1 species